rnacentral:rRNA from 1 species
GCGGAGGGAUCAUUACCGAGUUAUACAACUCCCAAACCCCUGUGAACUUACCUAUAACGUUGCCUCGGCGGGAAACCGACGGCCCCGUGAAACGGGCCGCCCCCGCCAGAGGACCCCCUAACUCUUGUUAUCUAUGCUUCUCUGAGUAAAACAAGCAAAUAAAUUAAAACUUUCAACAACGGAUCUCUUGGCUCUGGCAUCGAUGAAGAACGCAGCGAAAUGCGAUAAGUAAUGUGAAUUGCAGAAUUCAGUGAAUCAUCGAAUCUUUGAACGCACAUUGCGCCCGCCAGUAUUCUGGCGGGCAUGCCUGUCCGAGCGUCAUUACAACCCUCAGGCCCCCGGGCCUGGUGUUGGGGAUCGGCCGAGCCCUCCGGGGCGGACGCCGUCCCCCAAAUUCAGUGGCGGUCUCGCUGCAGCCUCCAUUGCGUAGUAGCUAACACCUCGCAACUGGAACGCGGCGCGGCCAUGCCGUAAAACCCCCAACUUCUGAAUGUUGACCUCGGAUCAGGUAG